UACGUAGGUGGCGAGCGUUGUCCGGAUUUACUGGGUGUAAAGGGCGUGUAAGAGGCUUUGCAAGUCAGAUGUGAAAUUCCCGGGCUUAACCUGGGCGCUGCGUCUGAAACUGCAAAACUUGAGUGCUGGAGGGGAAAGCGGAAUUCCUAGUGUAGCGGUAAAAUGCGCAGAUAUUAGGAGGAACACCGGUGGCGAAGGCGGCUUUCUGGACAGUAACUGACGCUGAGGCGCGAAAGCGUGGGGAGCAAAC
rnacentral:rRNA from 1 species